GUGAGGGCAAACUGGCUGCCACAUCUGUCACCCCAUUGGUCAACAGGGUUGAUUGGGCUGAUCUGGCUGGCUAGGCAGGUGUCCCUUCCUCCCUCGCUGCUCCAUGUACAUCCAUCCUGAAUUUUGGCACUUGGUCAAACAGGGUGAGCUUCCCUGAACAGAGGAUGGCCGGUC
rnacentral:snRNA from 1 species